rnacentral:rRNA from 1 species
GAUGAACGCUGGCGGCGUGCCUAAUACAUGCAAGUCGAGCGAACGGACGAGAAGCUUGCUUCUCUGAUGUUAGCGGCGGACGGGUGAGUAACACGUGGAUAACCUACCUAUAAGACUGGGAUAACUUCGGGAAACCGGAGCUAAUACCGGAUAAUAUUUUGAACCGCAUGGUUCAAAAGUGAAAGACGGUCUUGCUGUCACUUAUAGAUGGAUCCGCGCUGCAUUAGCUAGUUGGUAAGGUAACGGCUUACCAAGGCAACGAUGCAUAGCCGACCUGAGAGGGUGAUCGGCCACACUGGAACUGAGACACGGUCCAGACUCCUACGGGAGGCAGCAGUAGGGAAUCUUCCGCAAUGGGCGAAAGCCUGACGGAGCAACGCCGCGUGAGUGAUGAAGGUCUUCGGAUCGUAAAACUCUGUUAUUAGGGAAGAACAUAUGUGUAAGUAACUGUGCACAUCUUGACGGUACCUAAUCAGAAAGCCACGGCUAACUACGUGCCAGCAGCCGCGGUAAUACGUAGGUGGCAAGCGUUAUCCGGAAUUAUUGGGCGUAAAGCGCGCGUAGGCGGUUUUUUAAGUCUGAUGUGAAAGCCCACGGCUCAACCGUGGAGGGUCAUUGGAAACUGGAAAACUUGAGUGCAGAAGAGGAAAGUGGAAUUCCAUGUGUAGCGGUGAAAUGCGCAGAGAUAUGGAGGAACACCAGUGGCGAAGGCGACUUUCUGGUCUGUAACUGACGCUGAUGUGCGAAAGCGUGGGGAUCAAACAGGAUUAGAUACCCUGGUAGUCCACGCCGUAAACGAUGAGUGCUAAGUGUUAGGGGGUUUCCGCCCCUUAGUGCUGCAGCUAACGCAUUAAGCACUCCGCCUGGGGAGUACGACCGCAAGGUUGAAACUCAAAGGAAUUGACGGGGACCCGCACAAGCGGUGGAGCAUGUGGUUUAAUUCGAAGCAACGCGAAGAACCUUACCAAAUCUUGACAUCCUUUGACAACUCUAGAGAUAGAGCCUUCCCCUUCGGGGGACAAAGUGACAGGUGGUGCAUGGUUGUCAUCAGCUCGUGUCGUGAGAUGUUGGGUUAAGUCCCGCAACGAGCGCAACCCUUAAGCUUAGUUGCCAUCAUUAAGUUGGGCACUCUAAGUUGACUGCCGGUGACAAACCGGAGGAAGGUGGGGAUGACGUCAAAUCAUCAUGCCCCUUAUGAUUUGGGCUACACACGUGCUACAAUGGACAAUACAAAGGGCAGCGAAACCGCGAGGUCAAGCAAAUCCCAUAAAGUUGUUCUCAGUUCGGAUUGUAGUCUGCAACUCGACUACAUGAAGCUGGAAUCGCUAGUAAUCGUAGAUCAGCAUGCUACGGUGAAUACGUUCCCGGGUCU